AUGCCAUGCCAAAAACGGAUAUCAGGCUUUUCAUACAAUAAUAGCCCAAAACAUCUCCUAUCCAGAUCCACCAAUAAAGCUAAAGAGAAAGGAUUUGAUACGCUGCGUUUUGUAAACCAGGCGUUUUCGUUGCAACCUCUUCUACUUCGCAUGAGAACUACGCCAUCAGCUUCUUCACAGAUCUCCACUGAAUCUGCACUUCCAUCAUCCACUUCUAAUUUCUUAUCUCUAUUAACAAAAUUUCCUUAUCUUUAUCACAACAUUCACCUUCAUCUAUCGCAGUCUCGUUUGCGAUUCAAUACUCCGUGA